UUACCCACCUAACCAUGUGACCUACUUCUGAGUGCAGCUGCCUGCCAUGUGAUUCUGGAGAUGCCACCACGUCCCUAACAACACUCAUAAUGAGAUCUGGGAGGAGGAUAGACAGGGACUGUUUAACGCGUGGGAAGGAGGCGAGGCCGUAAUCCUGCGAGACAAAAGAGUCAGUCAGAGGGCUCCUCGCCAAACGCACCUGUUCCCAGGCCACGUUGAAUGUCCCCUUCCUCCCCUCACACCGCGGAACACAUGAACACACUCCCUCCUCCAGCGGCAGCGGCACUCACCCAGCUCAGCAGCCGCACUAUGGUCUGCGGCUGUCGGACAAACUUGUUCAAGUCGAAGCCUCCUCCUGCGAGCGAAGCCCCGUACACAGUUGCACCGCCCGCGUCUUCCAUGUCUCUCCCGGUUCAGCGGCAGUUCCUCCGGAGCCCACAGUGUGCUCUGACCUGGCCUCACAGCACGGCACGACACGGCACGGCGGCUGAACUGGAACUAAAGUGAGCUGAGACAGAGUCGCUGCUGUCGCCACCUCCUGCAGACGAGGACGCGUCGAGCCAGUGGGACAGGAGCUGCGCGCCAGCGGCUGCGCGUCAGAGGGGCGGACAUCAGCAGCCAGGGGACACGGUCAUGUUCGAUUCCACUCAAUUCAGUUUUAUUUGAAUAAAUCACAACAUUCAUUUUCUUUAAGAACUUUA